CUCCUGCCUAAUGAUUGGUCCAAACAACUGCUCUCUGAUGUGAAGCUACUGGACUACAUACUCAGGCACCAGCUAUAAAUAACGGCCGUUAUUUUGUGACGGAAGAUAGUAGGGGGAGAAAAAGUGCAAUAGUGCUGCCGGCACUGAAGAGGGACACCCCUGAAGCCACUUGCCAAGGCAACACAGAGGUCGUCGGACCUGCCAAGAUGCCGAGUCACUUCACCUGCCAAGAGCGCACCAAGGGACACAGGCCAGGACGCAAAAUGUCGAAUAGAAACUAUAGACUGCAGAAACAAUUCUUCAGAAAGGACCAAAGCAGAAUCAAAGAGGAACUAUAUCUCAAAAAAGGCUCAUUUCCAAGAAUUAAAGGGAAAAAAGAUCUUUCUGCA